UACACUUUGAAGUUUAUUCUAAGACGCAAUAUAUUGAGUAUUUUGUUAUGUUUAAUGUAUGACAAACAACGCCAAUACCAAUGAAAACGGAAGACAAAAUUUAAUUUGUAUGAAAAAUAGGAAGUCUAAACUUCACAAUUUUUAAAAGUUAUUAAACAAAUGUUUGCUUGUGUUACAGGCAACACACGGUAUAUAAUUUUUUUUUUUUUUUUUACCUUUGCGAGGGACUGGAGUCUGAACUAGGUUAGACCUGUAUUACAGAUCUCCAGGCCCUCACCCCGGAAAUACAUACAAAUUAUGACCAUACAAACGUAAUAAAAUAAAAUGUGGAGUGUGGAAUAAAAGGAGGAACAUCUCUAUGUAUGAAAAGUGUCCAUCAAAAAACAUUAAAUAGGCGACGCCACAAUAUACCGAAUUAAAUGUCAUAGACCUAGUAUUUAUAUAGAUGUGCUAUACGCGUGCACCCGUGAGGGACAGAACAUACGCAAAGCGACAAACUUAAAAACACAACUUAACAUUCCUGACAACAUACCCAAAACAACCUACGUAAUUUGGUCGGGUUAUUUGUUGCCCCUCCCCCAUUUCAUCUCUAUAUUAUUAUACCUCUAUGGUUCAUGUAAUCCAUAAGCCUACCUAGCGCCACCGGAGAGAUUAGGAACUAUUAUUUAAACUUGAAAACUGGUCACUUUUGCAAUAGUUCUGCCAUAAGAGAUUUUUCUCCUUUUAAUUCCACACUUCAUAUAACAGAUACCUAUAGUUCGUGUCAUCCACGAUGACGCGCGGGUUUGUCAAAUCUAUUCUUUAAUAACAUGACAUUAAGAGUCAAGGCACGCGUCGUACUUACUUUACUCUUUGCACGCGUCUUCGUCAAUGAAACGAGCUACGAGUACCUAUCAUAAGUACUCGAGAAUAAUAUUUUAACCUCCUAAGACCCUGAGUAUAAAUUUUUCGUCUAUUACUAGCCGACAAACCAGUCUGUCCACCUAGGUGGACGGUUAGUAUUUUCUUUCCGUAACCAACAACCUAGUUGAUUCGUUGUUAAUUUUUUUUCCUUACUGUCUACCUGGUUGGUUGUUAAUAUUUUUUUUUCUUAACUAACUACCUAGUUAGUUUUUUUAAACACUUACAAAAAACCGUUAAAUUGAACAUAAAAAAUCAGAAAUAUUGUUCUUAACACGUUUAUAGUGACAUACAAGUACAUGACGUACAUGAUGAAGUACAUCACGACGAACUGUCUUCACAAGUCUGGGCAACAUGGGUACUAUAACCGUUGUUGGGUCACUAUGGAAGCAAUUUGCUUGGACGUACGAGGAAAUCGGAACAUUUUGUAUGAGAACUGUGAACUGUGAACAUGUUAAAACAAAAGAAUCCCAAUUUUUAUAAUUUAAUUUUAUUUAUUUAUUUCAAAAGACAACAAUGGUCCAUAAUGGUUAGUAACAUUUAAGGUUUAAAACUAAGUGUUAGUACAACAAAUACAAAAAGACAAAAAGAAAAGCGGAAAGUACAGCAACAAUUAAUAACAAACAAUAACAAACAAUCACCUGGUAGCGGUCAUGAUACCCUCAAAAUGUCGCACAACAGGUGAGUCGUAUCGGCCCGCUACCGUAGCCAGGAUGGGGUUGGAGCUGGCCCGCACUCUGCAGAGCAACGAGGCAAUCCUCUUUCUUAUUAUGGCAUAGUAAUCAUCUGUGCGAGCUUGUGCAAACAUGCCCGAUGCGCUGCAGAAGCGGGGCAGCCCCAACAACAUCCUGAAACCAUUAUUAUAUUGGAUGUCUUUUAUGUGAGGUCUAAACGCUGAUUUUUAGGAGUCUGUACUACCACUAAUAUGGUCACAUACACAUACUGAAAUUAACAAUUGGACUAGUGAAAUUUCCAGAUCGUUUUGUAUGUUGGUUGGUAUAUGCAGAUAACCAACCGGCAAAUCAAUCAUAAAAAGUUGGUCGGCUGGUACUAAAAGUUCAUAUUACUAACCAACCAACUAGGCCGAUUGUUGGUUAAGAAAAAAAAAUACUAAGCGUCCACCUAGGUGGACAGACCGGUUUGUCGGCUAGUAAUAGACGAAAUUUUUGUACAUAUUCCAAAAUCUAUUUUGAACUUUUAUUAUGUAAUUAAGGGUUCCAAAUUCACAAACAAAACCAUUGCUUCUGGGUCUCAGGAGGUUAAAUUCAAAAUUAGUAUUUAUUUGCGACGACCGGUCUGGUCUAGUAGGUAGUGACCCUGCCUAUGAAGCUGAUGGUCCCGGGUUCAAAUCCUGGUAAGAGCAUAUAUUUGUGUGAUGAACACGGAUAUUUGUUUCUGAGUCAUGGGUGUUUAUAUAUAUUUAAGUAUUUAUAAUUAUAAUAUAUUAUAUAUAUCGUUGUCUAAGUACCUACAACACAAGCCUUAUUGAGCUUACGGUGGGGCUUAGUCAAUUUGUGUAAUAAUGUCCUAUAAUAUUUAUUUAUUUAUUUAUUAUUUAUUUGCAGUUAUUACGGAAAACCUAUUAAAAUAAUUCCAUAAAUUGAUUAAUAAACAUACAUAACGUAAUGCUUCGCAGUAUUGCGAUUUGUCAUACAGAUUUCCUAUCCUGUGCAUGUAUCAACGUAUGCGUGUAUGUGCAUGUCCCUGUUAAUAAAUACUACAUAAUAUAUAGUGAAUACCGCUGUCAUAUCGAGCAGACGUUGCGCAAAACACGAAAAACGGUCCACAGAAAUAAUUGGUGAAAACUGCACCUCAAUCAUGUUCCUGAAAGCCGUGCUCCUCUGCCUGGCCCUGAGCAUGGUACCCAUCCAGGCUAUGUCAGAUGAAGCCCUGGUAUUCAUCAGCGACCUGGUGCUCGCCGCCCACUUCUCGAGCGACCCUAAUGAAGCUGGCCAGAUUCUUAGCGGAAAUAGCUGCCCAAAAGGCCAGGAAAAAAAAUGUGUCAAGGUUAGCAAAUAUAGCAAAUGUGUAGAAAUUUGUGUACCUAUUGUGAAAAAGGAAGAAAACCUUUAGUAAUUUAGUAAAGACGAUAAAUGAAAAACCCAGACGUGUAAAAUAAAUAUAUUUUUUAGGAAACUUGCAAGGCAAAUUAAAUAAUUAUUUUCACACA